AACGGUUCUUUCCAUUCCACCUCAUUGGCCGCCGCCACCCUCUCCUGCUUUUCCCCGGUCUCCGGUCGACGCGAUUCGGAUUCCAGGCGCCGGGCUCCUUCGACGUGAGUACGGAGCGAGGAGGCGAUGGACGGCACCUUUUAUGUAUCGGACGAUGAGCUACAUGUUCCGUUUCUGCCUCAGCUUUCUCCAUGAUGUGUGACCAUAAGCCGACGGUAUAUUUUGGGUCUGGCUCUAAAGAGACUUGGGCUUGUCAUAGAAAGCACCAAAGUGACCGAUGCUGGAGAUGGGGAGCUGUAUGCAUCCAUUUCUAUGUAUUUGAGUGCUCAUAGCAACAUGCGUAAGGCAGAGCCAGAGGUGUUCCAUGGGGGGUAUGCUAUAACAGAGGAGCUGGCAAUAGAGUCAGCCAGUUCUGUUGCACUGACUUUCUUAAAAGAUAAGUCCAUGAUAUAUGUUGAUGAUGCAAACUAUCAUGAAUUAAAGGCUUGUCAGCACAAGUUGCUAGCGGCUUCCUCGUGGGCUAUGAUAUUUGAAGAUCACAUACCUGAUCUACAAAUCAAGAUGUCCAAGAUGACCCAAGGAACUGGGAAUGGCAGUAACAAGAUCGAUGUACCCAGUGACUGUGAUGACACUAACAGUACAUGCCCACUGGCUUUGGGUACAACCAAGCAGCAGGCGACACCUCCUCCAAGUACAUAUGAACAGCAGAUGAUACCUAAUCAGAAGCUACCUGGGUCAAG